UACGUAGGGUGCAAGCGUUGUCCGGAAUUAUUGGGCGUAAAGAGCUCGUAGGCGGUUUGUUGCGUCGGCUGUGAAAUCCCGAGGCUCAACCUCGGGUCUGCAGUCGAUACGAGCAAACUAGAGUGUUGCAGGGGAGACUGGAAUUCCUGGUGUAGCGGUGAAAUGCGCAGAUAUCAGGAGGAACACCGGUGGCGAAGGCGGGUCUUUGGGCAACAACUGACGCUGAGGAGCGAAAGCGUGGGGAGCGAACAGG
rnacentral:rRNA from 1 species